rnacentral:lncRNA from 1 species
AUGCUGGGAUCCAGUGUGGGAAAGCCCAGAUUUUGUGUGGGAAUGCCCAAAUUCCAUGUGGGAAUGUUGGGAUUCCACAUGGGAAUGUGGGAAUCCAACAUGGGAAUUCUGGGAUCCAAUGUGGGAAUGUUGGGAUCUGUGUGGAAACACCCCAAUUCCAUGUGGGAAUGCCCAAAUUUUGUGCUGGGAAUGCCGGGAUCUGCGUGGGAAUGCCCAAAUUCCAUGUGGGAAUGCCGGGAUCCAUGUGGGAACACCCAAAUUCCAUGUGGGAAUGCCGGGAUCCCGCGGGGCCGCCCAAAUUCCAUGUGGGAAUGCCGGGAUCCCGCGGGGCCGCCCGCGCGCUCCCACAUCCGGAUCUCCAUAAAAAACCUCGGCUCCGCCUCCUCCCGGCUCUUCCGUCACCCCGGGGGGGGUCGGGCAGCAACGGCGGGAACCGGGAAUGGGAACGGGAAUCGGGAUCCGGGAAUGGGAAUCGGGAUCUGGGAAUGGGAAUUGGGAUCCGGGAAUGGGAAUCGGGAUCUGGGAAUGGGAAUUGGGAUCUGGGAACGGGAAUAUAGAUUCAGGAACAGGAAUCAGGAUCCGGGAAUGGGAAUCAGGAACGGGAUCCAGGAAUGGGAAUCGGGAUCUGGGAACGGGAACUGGGAUCUGGGAAUGGGAGGUGGGGGCUGGGAACAGGAAUCGGGAUACGGGAACUGGGAUUCAGGAAUGGGAAUCGGGAUCCAGGAAUUGGGAAUCGAGAUCCGGGAGGUGGAGGCUGGGACCGGGAAUUGGGAUCUGGGACCGGGAAUUGGGAUCUGGGAACGGGAAUGGGAAUCGAGAUCCGUGAAUUGGGAACAGAGAUCUGGGAACGGGAAUCGGGAUCCGGGAAUGGGAAUUGGGAUCCGGGAAUGGAAAUCAGGAUCUGGGAAUGGGAAUCGAGAUCCGGGAAUCGGGAACAGAGAUACGGGAAUUGGGAUCCAGGAACGGGAAUUUGGAUCUGGGAAUUGGGAUCCGGGAAUUGGGAAUUAGGAUCCAGGAAUCGGGAUACGGGAAUUGGGAUCUGGGAACGGGAAUUUGGAUCUGGGAAUUGGGAUCCGGGAAUUGGGAUCCGGGAAUUGGGAAU